AAAGUUUGGUGAUGCUGUGGGGAGUCCCUGAGGCCUGCAGAGAAACCAUUCAUGUUUAAUGUACUUUUUCCUGCCAUACUGUUGAACUAACACAGUGCUUAAAUGCCUCGCAAUGGAAGUCUGCUGUGAAGCUGUUAAGGUCCAUUUUUGAGGGAAAGGGAAAUAAUUUGGCAAAGUGAGGAAUAUAACUGUAGCAAAUAUCUAAUGUGCAGCGCAUUUAUGCUGUCAUGGAUUCUUUACUGAACCAUCCAGAAAUGUAAUAGAUGCUCUGCCAGGAAGAGCUUUAUCCCUCUAAAGUUUGCUGGGUAUUCUUUUCAUAUCAUGGUUUGGGAAUAAAUAAAGGAAUAUGCUUAAAUAGGUAAACUGACCCUAAAUGCAUGAAAGUUACUCAGACAGUAAAGCUUUAAUCUGAGUUGUAGCGGGUGAUAGGUUAUGAAAUAUUAGCUGUGCAUAUUAUGGUGAUCUGAACUUUGUUUCUAUUUGUAUUACUGAAGUAUCCUAGAAAGCUGACUGCUGGUUAGAAGACUUGAGUGGGCUUUUUUUUGUUAAUCUCGCUGUUGUACACUAUCUUCUACCUGCCUGAAAAGAAAGAAGAGCUCAGUCAAGGUUGCCUUGGCAUUCCAAACUGAAUUUGGCCAUGAUAUGACAAUAGCACAAAUAAUGCCUGCUAUCUUAUUCAGAGCUUUAGCUUAAUAGAUCUAAAACCAAGUUGAUACUUUUCCCUGGUUCUUUUAAGUUUUGCUGUAUCUCUGUUAUAUGCUGAUUGUAAGGUGUGUAAUCAUUAUUUCCAAAGGCUGACUGUAAUCAUUAUUUGCUCCCUCUCUGCAUUCACCUUAGGCAUUUAGCAUUGGGAACAGGCCAAGGAAAGUGGAGAGGAUUGCAAGCAGCACCAAAAGAGCAGAGGGAAACCUAGGAAUUGCAUCCAGGCUUGCAGAGUGUUUGGUCUAGGUCUCUGUUUGCUGUGUGAAAGUACUUUUGAUGUUUAUGUGAAUGUUAAAGCAGGAAGAUUUUUUUUUUCACCUUCUGUUAAAUUUAGUCAUUGCUUCUGCAUUGACUUCUAACAAUGCUUAUGGCUGGCAUGUAUUGAUUAUAUGUUUAACUCUCUUGUGAGAAAGGGAUACCCAGAAGCGCAGAGUGAAAAUCAUUCAGUGCAGUUACUAUCUUGACUUGUUAUACAACCAGCAUGCUUAUUUCUUACGCUUAAUUUCCAUGUAGUCUUUAUUUAAAUCAUAUGAUCUCGUCAGAGCCUUUCAACUUCAUCCUCAUAAUGUACUUUAACACUUUGAUGUUGUCUGUCUCUUCAGGGAUGAUUCUGUCCCAGAGGAUAAUAUUUGGAGGGGUAUCCUCUCUGUGAUUUUCUUCUUUCUAAUCAUCAGUGUUCUAGCUUUUCCUAAUGGGCCCUUUACACGACCCCACCCUGCAAUAUGGAGAAUGGUUUUUGGUCUCAGUGUGCUCUAUUUUCUGUUCCUGGUGUUCGUGCUCUUCCUUAACUUUGAGCAGGUAAAAGCAGUGAUGUACUGGCUGGAUCCUAAUCUUCGAUAUGCCACAAGGGAAGCAGAUAUUAUGGAAUAUGCUGUGAACUGUCAUGUUAUCACCUGGGAGAGAAUCCUCAGCCACUUUGAUAUUUUUGCUUUUGGGCAUUUCUGGGGCUGGGCUAUGAAGGCUUUGCUGAUCCGCAGCUAUGGGCUGUGCUGGACUAUCAGCAUCACCUGGGAGCUCACUGAGCUCUUCUUCAUGCACCUUCUGCCUAAUUUUGCUGAAUGCUGGUGGGAUCAAGUCAUUUUGGACAUCCUGCUUUGUAACGGGGGUGGCAUCUGGUUGGGCAUGGUAGUUUGUCGUUUCUUGGAGAUGAGGACCUAUCACUGGGCAAGUUUCAAGGACAUUCACACGACUACAGGGAAAAUCAAAAGAGCUGUAUUACAGUUCACUCCAGCCAGCUGGACCUAUGUCCGCUGGUUUGACCCUAAGUCUUCAUUUCAAAGAGUAGCUGGGAUCUACCUUUUCAUGAUCAUUUGGCAGCUGACUGAGUUGAACACAUUCUUUUUGAAACAUAUCUUUGUGUUCCAAGCAAGCCACCCUUUAAGCUGGGGGAGAAUUCUCUUCAUAGGAAUCAUUACAGCACCCACUGUAAGGCAAUACUAUGCGUACCUCACAGAUACGCAGUGCAAGAGGGUGGGAACUCAGUGCUGGGUGUUUGGGGUUAUUGCUUUCCUUGAAGCUAUUGUGUGCAUAAAGUUUGGACAGGACCUUUUUUCCAAAACACAAAUACUGUAUGUUGUGUUUUGGCUUCUCUGUGUGGCCUUUACAACUUUCCUGUGUUUAUAUGGUAUGGUUUGGUACGCAGAAUACUAUGGCCACCGAGAAAAGACCUUAUCAGAAAGUGAAGACAGUCCAUACAGUCCAGAUGCUUCCUGGCUUCAUUCUAAAUUCAGUAGAGCAGGUGCUGACAAUAGUCCACCAAAACAUUCAGUCAAUAGUGAAAGCCAUUCAUCUAGAAGGAGGAAUCGGCACUCUAAAUCAAAAGUAACAAAUGGAAUCGGCAAGAAAUAAGAAUGGUCUCUGAAGAUGUCCUACAGUGUGACCAGAAGUGACAAAGAAAAUCAGACCUGGCUCUGAAUUUCCAAAUGGAAGAUUGAUUUUUAAAUUUAAAAGUUUAAAAAAAGGAGGUGUUGAAGAAAAGGAUGAUCAAGAUGGAGCCGCCAGUGUAGUGCAAAUCAUUGCCUGCUGACACUCGCCAUUCACUGAUUUAAAUCUAGUUUCUUCAGCAUGUGGCACCAGAAGUUAAUGAAGAGUAUGCUGGAAAGAAAAUUAAUGUUGUCAUAGCAGGGACUGAGGACUAAACACGCGCCUGCCAGCUCCCCUGCCGAGCCCUGGGCUCCCCCUUCCCUUCAGGAACUGCAUGUACUUUCAGCGACCAGUUGAUGUUCAGGUGGCCUUGGACAGACUGAAGAUCCUGAGAAGCUUGGAUCCUGACAAGAUGGAGGCAUCACGGCUUGCUUCAGCCUUUCCCACUGUCUCUGAGCUGGAACAAGAGGGCAGCCGCUGCCACCCUGAGCCAGCCCAGCUGGAGCACAGGAGCCAGCUGUGCCAGGAACGCACAGGACCUGCUCUUCCCACGCUGCCAUGGAGCCUGCACACCAUGGCACUGCGCGAUGCCACAGCCUGGCUGCCGCUCCUGCUCUCAGUUGGUGGCCAGGCACAUGUACGGAGCCUUCAAACUUGACUCGGGCAACAGGCACAGGGGUGGAAGGAGGACAAAUCCCAGACAUAUGGCAUUCUCCCUCUUUUCUAUCCCCUAAUCUUUCCUCUGGCAGCCUGUGUUUGACCGCUAGCAAGUCCACAUCAGCUAAUCAGCUCUCACAGUGUGCCCUGAGUAUCUGUGGCGGGUCCUCACCGAAUGGUGAAGGACGUCGCGGCGCUUGGACCUCAUCAGAGAGGACCCCUGGGCUCCCCUCCACUUCCCCGCAAGGGGAUGGAAGCGGCGAGCGGCACGCUCAGACGCUGUUGCAGGCAGAGAGGCUCUCCCCAGCCUGGCAGUCACAGCAGCAUGUCAGCGGUGGGAAGUCCUACGAGGGAGCCCCAAACCAGGCUUGAGUUACUCUCCAAACCUCCCAGAGCCUGCAGGAAAGAAACAGGGUCUCGUGUUCACCAAGCAUGGAGCCAGCUACCUCCAGGGGCAGGCAGUGGUGCCGUGAGCGCUGGGUGCUGAGAGCAGCCAAAGAGGACACCAGCUCCAGCAGAAAUGUCUCUGUGAACAGUCUGGAUGGAGCAGGAAUAUCUCCAGAUAAGAAACUACAGACUUUGAGAGACUGACUCAGAAAUGGGACAAAAGGUAGCAAUUGUGUUUGUUUAUCAUUGCAGAGAUCUUUCUCGCCCUCUGACUUCACCCUUCCUGUUUCAGAUGGGUCACCCUGACCUAAUUUUCAGACAAUAUUUUUGGAUUUCACGGAGCCACAAUGGAAUCUGGAUAAGUAGGAGCACAGGGGCUUUCCUGGUAGGUUUGCAAAUGCAAGCAGGCUUGGGUUCAGGUGUGGAGAAUAAUGUGGUGGAAAAAGGCCUCAGCUGUACUUCUUUUGCGUGGUCCUGGAGUACAGCGUUUUCCUUACAAACCUCUCUGUUACGGUGGUGGCUGGUGGCAGGUUGCAGUGGCAUGGCCGAAAGGGCCAGUGUGGGAGUGCGUGGGGCUACGGCUGGAGAAAUCUGACCUGGGGUUUCCCAUUUAAGCUAAACCUCUUCCUCCCUGGCAGGCAUGAAGGUUAACUCAGCUGUGCAAACUAAUUUAUAUUCAGCCGCACGUGGCCGUAAACUGUACUUUUUGUUGCUAACAAAUACGAAUAUGGUAUUUGCUCUGAAAAUUCACCAUUUCUCAUGUAAAAUCUUUCCCCUUGCCAUUUGUCUCUGCGAUGUAGAGUUUUGCUUGGCAGAUGGACGGUGCAGGAGGAUGGCCAGGCUGCGGGGGAAAGAGGGAUACGGGGUAUCCUCUCUGCCUCUGAGUUCUUGUGCAAGUUUUACUCAUUUACUAUGGUGAAAUGCAAAUGAAAAAAAAAAACAAAAACCACGUCUUUCCAAACUGUUGAGAGCAAAGGGGAGACAUCCUCCAGUGAGAGGAUAGACAGGACAGUGGUGGAUACAGCCCAUGACAGAAAGCUUUGUUUCAAGUCCUUUUCCAGCUUGGAGAUUGGAUUUAAAUAAGGGAGCUGUCAGGACUCGGAGCUGUUAUUCAAAGGCGUAGCAUAUUUUUUCAGCUGCCAUCCCUGUAUCUACUUGUCUUUGCUCUGGGUAUAAGGGCCUGGCAUACAGACUUCCCUAACUAACUGGAAGGAAGCACCCACCUUCACUCAACCAAUGGUUUUUUACCAAAGAGCAUUGAUCAUGACCAGCGUGUAACAGGACUCAUGGUACAAUUUUUGGAGGGAGGCAUGUCAGACACAUCUCUCAGUCACUCAGCCAGCUUCACCACUGCAUAACAGCGCUCCUUGAAAUGGGUCUGUCUCAGUCUGGAAGUCACUCCAUGAAGAAUUUUUCAAGGAUUUGAAAAUUUAAUUUUUAAAAGCUUCCCACUCUCUCCCAAAAUUGGCAGGCUCUGGCACCCCUUUUUCUGGAAUUAUCAAAUCUAUCCUCUAAAAACUAUGAAAUGACCUACAUAAUGUCAGACAAACUGUUCUAAGAAAUUUCUGCUUGAGCUUGGGAAGUAAUGGAAAAACUCUUCACAUGUAUAUUUUACAUUGCAAUGUCAGAAAAUGCAUACAUAUAUAUA